AUGAAGAACGCAGCGAAAUGCGAUAAGUAGUGUGAAUUGCAGAAUUCAGUGAAUCAUCGAAUCUUUGAACGCACAUUGCGCCCUAUGGUAUUCCGUAGGGCAUGCCUGUUCGAGCGUCAUUCAAACCUUCAAGCUCUGCUUGGUGUUGGGCG
rnacentral:rRNA from 1 species